rnacentral:tRNA from 2 species
GCGCUCGUAGCUCAAUUGGAUAGAGCAACGGACUUCGGAUCCGUAGGUUGUAGGUUCGACUCCUGUCGAGCGCACCA